rfam:Triticum urartu cultivar G1812 contig674297, whole genome shotgun sequence.
AAGCUACUUCCUCCGUUCUAAAUUACUUGUCGUAGAAAUGGAUGUAUCUAGAACUAAAAUAUAUCUAGAUACAUCCAUACAUGUGAUAAGUAAUUGGAAACGGAAGGAGUAGAUC